AUGAUCCUCUGGGUAAACUUUGUGUCCUUACUAGCAGUGCUCAGAGGUGUCCAGUCAGAGGGCCAGUUGGUGGAGUCUGGAGGGGACCUGAGAAGGCCUGGAGAAUCCCUCCAUCUCUCCUGCCAAGCCUCCGGAUUCACAUUCAGCAGCUACUGGAUGGACUGGGUGAGGCAGGCUCCAGGAAAAGGCCUGGAAUGGGUGGCCCACAUAACUACAGACUCAUCUAGCACUUACUACUUGGAUAAAGUCAAGGGACGCUUCACCAUCUCCAGGGACAACUCCAAAAGCCAACUCUAUCUGCAAAUGGACAGCCUGAAGCCGGAGGACUCGGCAGUCUAUUACUGUGCGGGAGACACAGUGAGAGGAAGUGAGUCUGAAGCCUGGCAAAAACCUUCCCUUCCUCUGAGCAGCCCUGCAAGUUCCUUCCAUCUCAGGAGGUUGAAUUUGUGUAAUUGGAAUGAGAAGCAGCAGAUGAAUCUCCAUCUUAGCAAGUGGGAAUAUAGGCCUGACCUUAGCAUUUUCACUGUGGAACCUGGUUAG